rnacentral:rRNA from 1 species
AAAACAUAGCCUAAUGACUUUUAUAUAUUAGGUGAAGUCUGCCCGGUGAUUAUAUUUUAACGGCCGCAGUACUUUGACUGUGCUAAGGUAGCAAAAUAAAUAGGCUUUUAAUUAAGGUCGAGUAUGAAUGGCAUUAUGGGUGAAAGCUGUCUUAUACAUAUAAUAAUAAUUUACUUAGUGGGUGAAAAUACCCACAUAAAAAUAUUAGACGAGAAGACCCUUAGAGUUUUAAAUAAGUGUGUAACUAAUGUGCUAUAGUUUUUUGUUGGGGCGACAUAGUACCAGAUAGCGUACUAAAUAAUAUUUUACAAAUAUAUCCCAUAAAAAUGAAUAUAACUACCUAAGGGAUAACAGCAUAAUUUUAUUUUAAGAUUGUGACCUCGAUGUUGGACUAGGGACUAAAUAUAUAAGUCAUAUAUUUAGAAUAUUCUGUUCGAAUAAUUUUUACCUACGUGAUCU